rnacentral:rRNA from 1 species
UACGAAGGGGGCUAGCGUUGCUCGGAAUCACUGGGCGUAAAGGGCGCGUAGGCGGCGUUUUUAAGUCGGGGGUGAAAGCCUGUGGCUCAACCACAGAAUGGCCUCGAUACUGGGACGCUUGAGUAUGGUAGAGGUUGGUGGAACUGCGAGUGUAGAGGUGAAAUUCGUAGAUAUUCGCAAGAACACCGGUGGCGAAGGCGGCCAACUGGACCAUUACUGACGCUGAGGCGCGAAAAGCGUGGGGGAGCAAAACAGG